GGGAAGCCNCAUGGCUUUUCCCUGAAAACUCCGGUGGUACAGGAUGGGCCCGCGUCUGAUUAGCCAGUUGGCAGGGUAACGGCCUACCAAAGCGACGAUCAGUAGCCGGCCUGAGAGGGCGGACGGCCACACUGGGACUGAGACACGGCCCAGACUCCUACGGAAGGCAGCAG
rnacentral:rRNA from 1 species